rnacentral:rRNA from 1 species
CAAAUUUCUGCCCUAUCAACUUUCGAUGGUAGAGUAGUGGUCUACCAUGGUUUCAACGGGUAACGGGGAAUUAGGGUUCUAUUCCGGAGAGGGAGCCUGAGAAACGGCUACCACAUCCAAGGAAGGCAGCAGGCGCGCAAAUUACCCAAUCCCGACACGGGGAGGUAGUGACAAUAAAUACUGGUACAGGGCUCUUUUGGGUCUUGUAAUUGGAAUGAGUACAAUUUAAAUCCCUUAACGAGGAACAAUUGGAGGGCAAGUCUGGUGCCAGCAGCCGCGGUAAUUCCAGCUCCAAUAGCGUAUAUUAAAGUUGUUGCAGUUAAAAAGCUCGUAGUUGAACCUUGGGCCUGGCUGGCCGGUCCGCCUCACCGCGUGCACUGGUCCGGCCGGGCCUUUCCUUCUGGGGAGCCGCAUGCCCUUCACUGGGUGUGUCGGGGAACCAGGACUUUUACUUUGAAAAAAUUAGAGUGUUCAAAGCAGGCCUAUGCUCGAAUACAUUAGCAUGGAAUAAUAGAAUAGGACGUGUGGUUC